rnacentral:rRNA from 1 species
CGCCUUACUCGGGGAUAGCCUUUCGAAAGAAAGAUUAAUACCCGAUAGUAUAAUGAUUCCGCAUGGUUUGAUUAUUAAAGGAUUCCGGUAAAGGAUGGGGAUGCGUUCCAUUAGGUUGUUGGUGAGGUAACGGCUCACCAAGCCUUCGAUGGAUAGGGGUUCUGAGAGGAAGGUCCCCCACAUUGGAACUGAGACACGGUCCAA